rnacentral:rRNA from 1 species
GACGUAGGGCGCGAGCGUUGUCCGGAUUUAUUGGGCGUAAAGAGCUUGUAGGCGGCUCGUUGCGUCGGCUGUGAAAACCCGCAGCUCAACUGUGGGCUUGCAGUCGAUACGGGCGGGCUGGAGUUCGGUAGGGGAGACUGGAAUUCCUGGUGUAGCGGUGAAAUGCGCAGAUAUCAGGAGGAACACCAGUGGCGAAGGCGGCCAUCUGGGCCAACACUGACGCUGAGGCGCGAAAGCUAGGGGAGCAAACAGG